rnacentral:rRNA from 1 species
UGGGGAAUAUUGCACAAUGGGCGCAAGCCUGAUGCAGCCAUGCCGCGUGUAUGAAGAAGGCCUUCGGGUUGUAAAGUACUUUCAGUCGGGAGGAAGGUGUCAAGGUUAAUAACCUUGGCAAUUGACGUUACCGACAGAAGUAGCACCGGCUAACUCCGUGCCAGCAGCCGCGGUAAUACGGAGGGUGCAAGCGUUAAUCGGAAUUACUGGGCGUAAAGCGCACGCAGGCGGUUGAUUGAGUCAGAUGUGAAAUCCCCGGGCUUAACCCGGGAAUUGCAUCUGAUACUGGUCAGCUAGAGUCUUGUAGAGGGGGGUAGAAUUCCAUGUGUAGCGGUGAAAUGCGUAGAGAUGUGGAGGAAUACCGGUGGCGAAGGCGGCCCCCUGGACAAAGACUGACGCUAAGGUGCGAAAGCGUGGGGAGCAAACAGG